GAUGCUAAUACCGGAUAACAACAGAUGAUGCCUAUCAACUGUUUAAAAGAUGGUUCUGCUAUCACUCUUGGAUGGACCUGCGGUGCAUUAGCUAGUUGGUAGGGUAACGGCCUACCAAGGCGAUGAUGCAUAGCCGAGUUGAGAGACUGAUCGGCCACAUUGGGACUGAGACACGGCCCAAACUCCUACGGGAGGCAGCAGCU
rnacentral:rRNA from 1 species